CCUCAUUACUCGCACAAAGGAAAUUGCUCUUGUUUGCCUGCAGUGUAACAAUCGUGAUCGUCCACUAGACUAAAAGGCAAGGUGAGUCAGACAUGGAUGAUGCAUGACAUCCAGACUUUCUAAGAUGCAUUUGAAUACUUACAGUCAAACCAUGAAAGACAGUUUGGAAUUUGGUUUUUGAACCUGAAAUCAGACACGUCCUAAAAUGCAAGAAAUUGGUGUUAAACUUUUAAUGCAGACUAAUUUAUUUACAUCCCAGAGAGAUGAGGAAGCUCUUUCAGAGAUUUGCCCAAUGGCUUUUAAAACAAAAUACAAAAUACCACAAUUGAUCACAGAUACAUUCUAUAGAAAAAAAAAAGAAAAAAAGUUGUCAUUUUUAAAUCCAGGUACGAGGAUCUUUGAGCUAACACUAAGUUUGGAGCCUUUGAGUCAACAAAAACAUACUUUGGCAGUGGUAAAAAAAAAUUGAUCAGAAUCUUACAGUUACAAUAUCAACCUUGGUUCCGUGAGUGAAGGGAUGGUCUAUUCAACCAGUUCUAUUAUACAUGGCUUAACCAAGGGUACUUGUCACUGAUACUCCUUUGAGCUGCAUGCCCAAGUAAACGUGUACUCACUUGUCCCAAAAAUGAAUCUGAUUGGUCCUGGUAAGAAAAGUCUCUUCACUCAGUUAACCAGGCUUACCUUUGCAACAUACUUUGACUUCCUCAAAUGGUGACACAUGUGGGGACCCUGUAGGACACACCGUAUUGGAACCAACUGGGCACAACUUGUCAAAGUGUCCAGGAGGACAUGCACGGCCUUGAAUGACAUUCCCUCAGUGUGCAACAUAUCACUUUCCUGUGCUCAAGUGCAGCCAAAGUAAAACAGACCCUACCUUUAUGGGGUCCUAUUCAGGCCAGAAAGGUGGAGUUGCUUAGAUGGCGACAGGGUUGUGCCUGACCACAAGGCCCAUGGGUUCAGAAGUUCUCUAAUGACUCUGCAGUAGUUGAAUGCAUCAGUGAAGGAAGUGGGGCUGAAUACAGGACUGUGGUAGAUCACUUUGUCACAUGGUGUGAGCAGAACUAUCUCCAGUUCAACGUGUUUAAGGAACUGAUAUUUGAUCUUAGUAGGACAAAGACAACAGUGACCCAUGUUUCCAUCCAGUGUGGGUGUCAGUGUGGACAUUGUGGAGAGAAGUACCUGGGGUUGUACUUGGACAACAAACUGGACUGGUCUAAGAACUCUGAAGCUGUCUACAAAAGUGUCAAGGACAGCUCAGAGCAGGAGGACACAAAGGCAGACACUGAAGCAGAGGUCAGAGGCAAAAAGGGUUAAAUCAGAAACAGGCAGAGGUCAGUAUACGAGAGAUCAAUCCAGACAGGCGGAGGUAUCAAAAUCAGCAGGCAAAAAAGGCAAGAUCCAAAAACAAGCAAGGUUCAAAACACGAGAGGCUAUGACUGUGUCUGUGAAGAUAAAAGGCUGGGACGAGGACUAUAAAGUGCAACGAACUGGCAACAAGACAGUGAGAGACAUGAGCUGCGUCCGAAUUGCCAAGUAGUAGUCGAAGUAGUAGUCGAAGUAGUAUCUAGCAUGUCCGAAUUGGCCACCGGAGCGAGUAGCAUGCUACUUCAGAUACUACUUCAGAUACUAGACACGCCCACAUUGUAGGUUGGUCUCGGUGCAUCCUACGGGCAUGCUACUGACCCAAAAUGCACCGCGGGCUUCUUCUUCGUCCUCUUAAAAGUUGUAGAAGCGCAUGUGAUGCUAGCGCCACCAGCUGCUCUGCCUAUUUAAAUGUGUCGCGAACGCCGGCUGGCCACAGCAGCGCGCACCAUGUCGGAGCAGCAGCAGCAGCAGCAGCAGGCGGGACCACAGCAGUACAGAUGUAAUUUUAAUGUAACUUCACACACUGUCCUAAAAAAUGUGCGGUUGUAUCUCUUUGUCAUGUCAUGGUGUCAUAUUUGCCCAAGUAAUCAUUUUAUGAGCAAAUAUGUGGCGACAUCAUGGAGGUAAAGCUCACUUAAUCCAUCAUUAAGCUGCACAGCUGCAGUAAUCAGGCAGAUCUCAUUGAACAAACGAUCACCACGUGAGUGAAUGAAGGCUAAAAGUCAUGGAAAAGCUACUUUGUGAAUUUCUAAAGCAGUGCAGGAAUAUAAUACAGCAGCAUCCAUCACUUGCACAAUUACCAUUCAGUCUAAAACGGGCGCAGUACCUACUCUCUGCCUGCGGGGGUCGUCUUUCCCCACCGCUCGUCUAGUGUGUCCGAAUUGGGCCAACGUGUUUAGUAUGUAGGAGUAGGAUCUAGCAGUAGUAUGUAGCAGUAGCAUGUAGUAUCCGAGCGGGCAAUUCGGACGCAGCAAUGGGGUUGAAUACAGGAGGUAAUGAGGGCUGAUGAGGCACAGGUGGGGAGAAACAAUCAGGGAGCAGGUGUGACAGGAUUGGGGCAGGGCAGACAGAAAGCAAAUCUAGAACACAGAGACAAGGUUUAGUGAUAUCAAAAUAAAACAGGAAAGACAACCCAAACAUGAAUAUGCAAAAAAUAAAGAGAACUUGACAGACAUGACAAAAAGGGCCUCAGCCGUCUUUACUUCCUCAGGAGGCUGAGGUCCUAUAACAUCUGCAGGACGACACUGAGGAUGUCCUAUGAGUCUGUGGUGGCCACUGUGAUCCUGUUUGCCGUUGUGUGCUGGAGCAGCAUACUGAGAGUAGCAGACGCCAACAGACUUAACAACAAACUUAUCUGCAAGGACAGGGACAUUGUGGGGGUAGAGCUGGACACUGGUGGUGGUGACUGAGAGGAGGAUGUUGUCAAAGUAAUGUAAUGUCAAUUUAAUCUUAGAAACCACUACCAGCUCCACAACAUGCUAGUCAAACCCAGGAGCACAUCAUUGCUAAACAUCAUUCCCCCUAAAUGCCCCACAGAGUAUCACAGGAAGUCUUUCUUGUCUGUGGCCAUCAAACUUUAUAACUCCUCCUUCUGAGUGUCACACACUCUUACUGUCACUUCUUCUUUUAUUCUCAUGCCAUGGCUGUAAAAUUCUCCACUACAUAUAAUUACAAUUAACUGUGCAUUCUGUUUGAAAAAUGGUCAAACUUCAAAAAUCUUGAAAGAUUGCAAUACUAACAAUGCAUUGUUUAUUAAGGUAACUGUACAAUAUUCUACUCAACUGUGCAAUAUUCUCUGCAAUAUCAUACACAACAAAAUGGUUUGGUUUACACUCUCAUGAUUGUACACAGCUUAUUUCUUAAAAAGCUAUAUUUGUAAUAUUAUGCACUUUAUACUAGCUAUUGAAAUUUCUUAUUUAUUCCUAUGAAUUCCUGUUUCUACUCUACAUCUACUAAUUUGUGUAUUUUCCCCCCCCCCCAAAAAAAAAAAAAAAAAAACAAUAGCUGUACAUGAUGCAGUUGAGAAACUGUGAGUUAACAGCACAUUGGUCCUCAUUGAGUCUACGCUGGCAGUCAUAGUGACCACCACCACACUAUGAAGGGUUGAUGGCAAUUCACUAUUCUGUAGUAAUUAGAUACUGGAGAAUCUCUCAGGCCAUGUCUAGGCCAGUUCUGUGCAAGUGGUAUCAGACUGGCCCUCCAAGGAUCAGCUAGGCAUUAACGCCUAGAGGAGGAUUGUCUCUCCCUCUGAAGAAGUACAAAGAGAUGUUUGCUUCAAGAUACCAGGGCAGAAUACUACCCCACACAGUUACCAGUCUGCCUUCACAACAACCUCCGAAGAGGAUCCAGCAAUCUUGAGAGGAGCCCAGAGACCAGCUCUCUUCCAGCCUGCGCAUUCAUGAAAUGCAUGCUGCAGACCCCUGCUGUUGCUCAGACAGUGACUCUGUGAUUGCAUAAUACCUGACCAUGCAAGUGUUAGAAGAAAACUGGUGUAGCUUGAACCAUUUGUUGUAAAAUCAGUUGAAAGAAAUAUGUCAUUUUUAUUUAUUUUUCCCUCUUUCAAGUGCUGUUAGCUAGCCAUGAUAUUGCGAGAAAACAGUUGCCUACAUGAAACACCAGCUGAGCAGUAAGAGAGGCAGUUGCAACGGAAGAGGGGAUUUGUACAAAAUGAUCUAUUUCUUGUUAGAUACCAUUAUUGAAUAAUUUAUCUUGCUUACCUGAUGCCAGAGUAUUCCAUUACAUUUUAAUUUUACAACAAAGUCCAUCAAAGGCUUGAAUAAAGCGCUGUGAAAGUUAUAUCUUUAACCAAAUAACAGUCACAACUUGAAAAUAACACAGGGUGUAAGCAGAUUUUUAAAAGUGUUUAAAAGUCUUUAACACCAAGGGGUGUCUUUCAUCGGAAAUGCAGACUGGGCUUUACCAUGAAAAGCAUCCUCAGAGUCCUUUCAAAUUGCAUUUUUAAUUGCUUUUGUCAUUAAUGGAGAUUCUACAGAGCUGAUUCAGCCUAUAGUUGAUCACUUUUCUGAGUGUUUUGUCCGAGAACCGUGCCUGGUUCAUUGAAAUAAAAUAAAAAACUACAGAGUUUUAUUUUCUCUUAAAUGUACAUGAAACAAGUGAGACUCACUCCUCAUAGCAGCAGAAUAAACAGUAUAACCUUUUAACAUUAUAUUAUAAUUAUCAUAUUAUUAUUACUAUUAUGCACUUCUGAGGGAUGGGGAACAGGGCAUGAGUACCCUAAAUAUCCUACUUUAAUAGGUGUGAUCUGGACAAAACCUAAUCAACAACAAACUGGAGUCAUCUGUGCAUAAGUGAUGAUAUAGGGUUUUAAAUUCACACACUUCAUGACAAAAAUGACAAGAAAAUGCAGCAGCAAGCACAGCAGGGAGCAGAAGGUGUUAAAAUAUGGACCUCUACCCUGUACAUGAGUCAAUAAGAAUAAGAGCGUAAUCCCUGAAGGGAAAUGUAAUUGUCUGUUGUCUCACAAAAAAGUCUCUAAAAGUUAUCUACCAUUUACACAAGAGUUAUAAAGUCUGAUGGCUAUUGGUACAAACAGUAGCGGUUCUAGGCACGGGCGAACAGGGCAGCCGCCCGGGGCGGCAUUUGUGUCAUGACUCAUGGGGGGCGGCACGAGCACUUCCAAAAAAAUAAAAUAAAAGAUAAUAAUAAAAAAUCUUAACCGCAAAGCGGUUUUGUAUUAACUCUUGUUGUCAAAUUGGCGCCCCCCCGUUGCUGUAGGCGCCCCUGCUUGCUCCGAAGGUGCUGCACAGAGGCUGACAGACUGUAGGAGACGAGGCGGGGAGAGAGUCGCGGGGGGACAGCUCUGCUCUGUGUACGCAUGUCAGCAUAUCAGCGGGAGAGCGGAUACGUCAUUUUGUAGUUUUUUAAUCAUUUCUGGAGUCGCGGUGAGUGAAAUCACCGUACCCGUCUGCCUUUGAUAGGCGAAUAAAGCGCUCGGGUUCAUGCUCGGAUCUUGCUACGUGCUUGAUGAGCUUAAUGAGUAAAGUAAACAAUGACCGAGACAGAGAGCAGCUUCAGAGGAGAAACAUCCAGCAGUGUGAACAACCUCUUCAUAUGGAGUGCUUUGGCUCACACUAUCAGCGUUUUCUCUGAGUGUUGCAUGACUUUGGGUGAGAACAGAGAUGAACACACUGUCAGCCACGUAUUUAUUUAUUCAUUUUUUAGUUUUUAGUUCUGCUUUUGUACUGGCACUAUACUGGGGCAGCUGUUUACCCUUUCAACACCUUAUUUUCUAUAUUUACAUUUCUAUUGAAUGGACACUUUAUCAUGACUGCCACUUGUUUAACAGAAAGCAAAUUAUUUGUCAUUCUCCAGUGCAGAGCCUUUACUUUUAUUUAUACAGCCGCCUUAUUUCAUUUGAGUUUGUUUGUUCUUUUUCAAAGAUGUGAUGAAGGUUCGCAAAACUAAAAGAGAGCUUUCUUGAAAGCCACAUGUUUAAGCUCUCCAAUACUUUUUGAAUUUUGUUUCUAUCUACUACAGAGGCCGAGAUAGCAGCUGUUUUGUAAACCUUAACACGUCAGAGAACCUCAGGAUCUGGGGGCCCUUCUCAAAAUGGCCCAAAAUGGAUUUCUGCAAUUGAGAAAUAUAUUAUUUUUUUUGUUAUGAUAAUAAUAAUACUACAUAGUAAUACAAAACUAUCUGUUCAAAAUUCUAUCUCUUUUUGUGUUUGUGUGUGUGUGUGUGUGUGGGGGGGGGGGGGGGGGGGGCACUUGGAGGGGUGCUCGCCCGGGGAGUAAUUUGGUCUAGAACCGCCACUGGGUACAAAAGAUCUUCUGAAUCUUUCUGUCCUGCAGUGAAGAGAGAGGAGCCGUCCACCACCAUUUGCCCUUUGGUCCAUCAAGGUGUUGUGAAGUGGGUGAUCCAUGUUCUUUAGAAUAGUCUCCACCUUCCUCAGUAUAGAUCUCUCCACCACAUCCUCCACUGAGUCCAGCUUGAGUCCAACCACAGAGCCAGCCUUUUUCACCGGUUUGUUAAGACGUCUUGCAUCUUUGUGUUUGAUGCUUCCUCCCCAGCAGACUGCAGCAUAGAACAGCACACUUGCCACCACAGACUGAUAAAACAUCUGCAGCAUCGUACUACAGAUGUCUAUUGAUCUGAGUCUUCUCAGGCAAAGAGGUGGCUCUGCCCCUUUCUGUAGAUGAAGUAUAUAUUUUUAGACCAGUCAAACUUAUUAUCCAGAUGUACACCUAGGUAUUUAUAUGAUGUCACCACUUCAAUGUCCACUCCACAGGUGUUCACUGGCUGAAGAGGGGGUUUGGAUCUACGGAAGUCUAUGACCAUCUCCUUUGUCUUUGAGGUGUUGAGGAGGAGGCAGUUUUUGUGACUCCAGUCACUGAAGGCUCUUAUUAGAUCUCUGUAUUCAUCCUGUCCAUUUCUGAUACAUGCCACAAUAGCGGUGUCAUCUGAGUAUUUCUGGAUGUGGCAGGACUCUGUACUGUAUUUGAAGUCUGACAUAUACAGUGUGAACAGGAAUGGCGCCAGCACUGUCCCUUGUGGAGCCCCUGUACUGCUCAUUAAUGUCCCAGAAACACAGUUCCCCAGCCUGACAAACUGUGACCUUCCUGUCAGGUAAUCUGCGAUCCAGGAAACACAGGCAGGAUCCACUCCCAUCUCUGUGAGCUUGACUUUGAGUAUGGUGAGUUGGAUGGUGUUGAAUGCUCUUGAAAAGUCAAAGAACAUGAUCCUCACAUAAACCCCAGGUUCCUCCAGAUGAAACAGGCAUACAUACUAUAGUUCACAUACUAAUACACGUAAAAGAGGAGUAGCAAUCUUGAUCUCCAAUCAGAUAAGGUUUGAGCACCAUAAAGAAAUAAGGGAUAAUGAGGGGAGAUUUGUAAUAGUAAAGGGAACUAUAGAUGAAACAAAAGGAACAUUGGUGAAUAUAUACAAGCCACCAGAGAGUGAUAAAAAAUUAUUUAAAAUGUUGCAUGAUACUAUAGCAUUAGAAGCAGAGGGGAUAUGUUGGUGUGCGGGAGACCAGAAUGUUGUUAUUGAUUAUGAUCUGGAUACCACCAGUAAAAAUAGAAGUAAGAAAUCUGUUUCGAAGCUAGUGAGGAAUACAUGGGAAGAAAUGGGCUGUGUUGAUGUUUGGAGAGAUUUGCAUCCUCUUCAGAAGGAUUAUACUCAUUAUUCACAUUCACACUCAGUGUACAGUAGAAUAGACUACUUCCAUACGCAAAAGGAAAAUAUUGAAUUAAUAAGGGACUGCCAAAUUGGAGUAGCUGAUGUAUCUGAUCAUAGUACUGUCUAUAUGAGAGUUUGUCUUUCUGAUAGACAGAGAAAUACAAUAUGGAGGUUGAAUACUGGACUGUUGAAUAAAAUUGAGGUGGUAGAACAGAUCAGAACAGAUGUUGGGAAUUAUUUAAAGGAAAAUGAUAAUGGGGAAACCAACCCAGCAAUCUUAUGGGAUGCCCUAAAGGCAGUUGUUAGAGGUAAAUUGAUUGCAAUCUCGAGCAGACUAAAAAAGGAAAAAUUAAGAUAAUUAUUAGUAUAAUUAUCUCUUAAAUACAACGGAGUAUAAGGGGCACAAUUAGAAAAAAAAAAACAGAAUAAAGUCAUUAAUAUCAGUAUUAAGUCGUAAAGUUACCUGUUGUGAAGGAGAGUUGUUAAAAUCAGCACUGUGGAGCAUUUAGAUGAAUUGUACUUUAGUAUAGGUUUCACAAACAUGGAGAUACUUAAUCCUUUGGUACAUGAGCAUUACACUGUCAUGAGUAUCAGAACUUAUAUUUGAGAUAUAUGAGAAAUGCUGCUUUUGUGGAGGGGAAAAUGGCUGGAAAUGGCUGUACAGAGGCUAAAUCCGUCAAUACAGCUGUUAAUAGCAAUAGCAUAGGGCUUUAGUUUAUCAUAUGAGUUUAUAUGCCAUGAGGUGUUGAGGUCUCUGCAUGUGUAGGUUACUGACUUACUGUAAUCAUCGGGUCUAUCUCGUCCUUAUAAAAACCUGCUCUAUUACGGCCAGUGUCUGUCUUCUUCUGUAGUCAAACCGUAAGAUAUCAAAAUCUACCCGGAUACAGCAAUGCUGCUUUUUUAUUGGCUGUUCAGUAGAUAUACUUUAUUUAAUUUGCUUGCGCGUGGCACGCAGCUUCUGAACUCUCAGAGGAACUCAGUUGAUACCUACCUGUUCCAUAGUUAAAGAGGCGCAACUUGGUGGACAUCACCAUGUUCAUUUAAAUGAACAUUUAUAACCUUUAUAUUUAUAACAUUUAUAUUUAUAACCAUGUUAUAACCAGGUAAUUUCUCAGGUUAUAACCAGGUUAUAACCAGGUAAUGUCUCAGGAUAUAACCAGGUUUUAACCAGGUAAUGUCUCAGGUUAUAACCAGGCAAUGUCUCAGGUUAUAACCAGGUAAUAACCAGGUUAUUACCAGGUAAUGUCUUAGGUUAUAACGAGGUUAUAAUCAGGUAAUGUCUAAGGUUAUGACCAGGUAAUGUCUCAGGAUAUGACUAGGUUAUAACCAGGUAAUGUCUCAGGAUAUAACUAGGUCAUAACCAGGUAAUGUCUCAGGAUAUAACCAGGUUAUAACCAGGUACUGUCUCAGGUUAUAAACAGGUUAUAACCUGGUUAUAUCCAGGUAAUGUCUCAGAUUAUAACCUGGUUAUAACAAUGUAAUGUCUCAGGAUAUAAGCAGGUUAUAACCAGGUUAUAACCAGGUAAUUUCUCAGGUUAUAACCAGGUAAUGUCUCAGGUUAUAACCAGGUAAUAACCAGGUUAUAACCAGAUUAUUACCAGGUAAUGUCUCAGGUUAUAACCAGGUAAUGUCUCAGGUUAUAACCAGGUAAUGUCUCAGGUUAUAACCAGGUAAUAACCAGGUAAUGUCUCAGGUUAAAACCAGGUUAUAAAUAGGUUAUAACCAGGUAAUGUCUCAGGUUAUAACCAGGUUAUAACCAGGUAAUGUCUCAGGUUAUAACCAGGUUAUAAUCAGGUAAUGUCUCAGGUUAAUACCAGGUUAUAACCAGGUAAUGUCUCAGGAUAUAACUAGGUUAUUACUAGGUAAUGUCUCAGGAUAUAACUAGGUCAUAACCAGGUAAUGUCUCAGGUCAUAACCAGGUUAUAACCAGGUAAUGUCUCAGGUUAUAACCAGGUAAUGUCUCAGGAUAUAACCAGGUUAUAACCAGGUACUGUCUCAGGUUAUAACCAGGUUAUAACCACUUUAUAACCAGGUAAUGUCUCAGGUUAUAAACAGGUUAUAACAAGGUAAUGUCUCAGGAUAUAAGCAGGUUAUAACCAGGUUAUAACCCGGUAAUGUCUCAGGAUAUAACUAGGUUAUAACCAUGUAAUGUCUCAGGAUAUAACCAGGUUAUAACCAGGUAAUGUCUCAAGAUAUAACCAGGUUAUAACAUGGUUAAAACCAGGUAAUGUCUCAAGAUAUAACCAGGUUAUAACCCGGUAAUGUCUCAGGAUAUAACUAGGUUAUAACCAUGUAUUGUCUCAGGAUAUAACCAGGUUAUAACCAGGUAAUGUCUCAAGAUAUAACCAGGUUAUAACAUGGUUAUAACCAGGUAAUGUCUCAAGAUAUAACCAGGUUAUAACCAGGUUUUAACCAGGUAAUGUCUCAGGUUAUAAGCAGGUUAUAACCAGGUUAUAUCCAGGUAAUGUCUCAGAUUAUAACCUGGUUAUUACAAGGUAAUGUCUCAGGACAUAAGCAGAUUAUAACCAGGUUAUAAGCAGGUAAUGUCUCAGGAUAUAACUAGGUCAUAACCAGGUAAUGUCUCAGGAUAUAACCAGGUUAUAACCAGGAAAUGUCUCAAGAUAUAACCAGGUUAUAACAUGGUUAUAACCAGGUAAUGUCUCAGGUUAUAAGCAGGUUAUAACCAGGUAAUGUCUCAGGUUAUAAACAGGUUAUAACCUGGUUAUAUCCAGGUAAUGUCUCAGGUUAUAACCUGGUUAUAACCAGGUAAUGUCUCAGAAUAUAACCAGGUUAUAACCAGGUAAUGUCUCAGGAUAUAACUAGGUUAAAAACAGGUAUUGUCUCAGGAUAUAACCAGGUUAUAACCAGGUAAUGUCUCAAGAUAUAACCAGGUUAUAACAUGGUUAUAAUCAGGUAAUGUCUCAGGUUAUAACCUGGUUAUAACCAGGUAAUGUCUCAGGAUAUAACCAGGUUAUAACCAGGUAAUGUCUCAGGUUAAAACCAGGUUAUAACCAGGUAAUGUCUCAGGUUAUAACCAGGUUAUAAUCAGGUAAUGUCUCAAGUUAUAACCAGGUUAUAACCAGGUAAUGUCUAAGGAUAUAACUAGGUUAUAACCAGGUAAUGUCUCAUGAUAUAACUAGGUCAUAACCAGGUAAUGUCUCAGGUCAUAACCAGGUUAUAACAAGGUAAUGUCUCAGGAUAUAACCAGGUUAUAACCAGGUAAUGUCUCAGGAUAUAACCAGGUUAUAACCAGGUACUGUCUCAGGUUAUAACCAGGUUAUAACCACUUUAUAACCAGGUAAUGUCUCAGGUUAUAUACAGGUUAUAACAAGGUAAUGUCUCAGGAUUUAAGCAGGUUAUAACCAGGUUAUAACCUGGUAAUGUCUCAGGAUAUAACUAGGUUAUAACCAGGUAAUGUCUCAGGAUAUAACCAGGUAAUAACCAGGUUAUAACCAGAUUAUUACCAGGUAAUGUCUCAGGUUAUAACCAGGUAAUGUCUCAGGUUAUAACCAGGUAAUGUCUCAGGUUAUAACCAGGUAAUAACCAGGUAAUGUCUCAGGUUAAAACCAUGUUAUAAAUAGGUUAUAACCAGGUAAUGUCUCAGGUUAUAACCAGGUUAUAACCAGGUAAUGUCUCAGGUUAUAACCAGGUUAUAAUCAGGUAAUGUCUCAGGUUAAUACCAGGUUAUAACCAGGUAAUGUCUCAGGAUAUAACUAGGUUAUUACUAGGUAAUGUCUCAGGAUAUAACUAGGUCAUAACCAGGUAAUGUCUCAGGUCAUAACCAGGUUAUAACCAGGUAAUGUCUCAGGUUAUAACCAGGUAAUGUCUCAGGAUAUAACCAGGUUAUAACCAGGUACUGUCUCAGGUUAUAACCAGGUUAUAACCACUUUAUAACCAGGUAAUGUCUCAGGUUAUAAACAGGUUAUAACAAGGUAAUGUCUCAGGAUAUAAGCAGGUUAUAACCAGGUAAUGUCUCAGGAUAUAACUAGGUUAUAACCAUGUAAUGUCUCAGGAUAUAAGCAGGUUAUAACCAGGUAAUGUCUCAAGAUAUAACCAGGUUAUAACAUGGUUAAAACCAGGUAAUGUCUCAAGAUAUAACCAGGUUAUAACCCGGUAAUGUCUCAGGAUAUAACUAGGUUAUAACCAUGUAUUGUCUCAGGAUAUAACCAGGUUAUAACCAGGUAAUGUCUCAAGAUAUAACCAGGUUAUAACAUGGUUAUAAUCAGGUAAUGUCUCAAGAUAUAACCAGGUUAUAACCAGGUUUUAACCAGGUAAUGUCUCAGGUUAUAAGCAGGUUAUAACCAGGUUAUAUCCAGGUAAUGUCUCAAAUUAUAACCUGGUUAUUACAAGGUAAUGUCUCAGGACAUAAGCAGAUUAUAACCAGGUUAUAAGCAGGUAAUGUCUCAGGAUAUAACUAGGUCAUAACCAGGUAAUGUCUCAGGAUAUAACCAGGUUAUAACCAGGUAAUGUCUCAAGAUAUAACCAGGUUAUAACAUGGUUAUAACCAGGUAAUGUCUCAGGUUAUAAGCAGGUUAUAACCAGGUAAUGUCUCAGGUUAUAAACAGGUUAUAACCUGGUUAUAUCCAGGUAAUGUCUCAGGUUAUAACCUGGUUAUAACCAGGUAAUGUCUCAGAAUAUAACCAGGUUAUAACCAGGUAAUGUCUCAGGAUAUAACUAGGUUAUAAACAGGUAUUGUCUCAGGAUAUAACCAGGUUAUAACCAGGUAAUGUCUCAAGAUAUAACCAGGUUAUAACAUGGUUAUAAUCAGGUAAUGUCUCAGGUUAUAACCUGGUUAUAACCAGGUAAUGUCUCAGGAUAUAACCAGGUUAUAACCAGGUAAUGUCUCAGGUUAAAACCAGGUUAUAACAUGGUUAUAAUCAGGUAAUGUCUCAAGAUAUAACCAGGUUAUAACCAGGUUUUAACCAGGUAAUGUCUCAGGUUAUAAGCAGGUUAUAACCAGGUUAUAUCCAGGUAAUGUCUCAAAUUAUAACCUGGUUAUUACAAGGUAAUGUCUCAGGACAUAAGCAGAUUAUAACCAGGUUAUAAGCAGGUAAUGUCUCAGGAUAUAACUAGGUCAUAACCAGGUAAUGUCUCAGGAUAUAACCAGGUUAUAACCAGGUAAUGUCUCAAGAUAUAACCAGGUUAUAACAUGGUUAUAACCAGGUAAUGUCUCAGGUUAUAAGCAGGUUAUAACCAGGUAAUGUCUCAGGUUAUAAACAGGUUAUAACCUGGUUAUAUCCAGGUAAUGUCUCAGGUUAUAACCUGGUUAUAACCAGGUAAUGUCUCAGAAUAUAACCAGGUUAUAACCAGGUAAUGUCUCAGAAUAUAACUAGGUUAUAAACAGGUAUUGUCUCAGGAUAUAACCAGGUUAUAACCAGGUAAUGUCUCAAGAUAUAACCAGGUUAUAACAUGGUUAUAAUCAGGUAAUGUCUCAGGUUAUAACCUGGUUAUAACCAGGUAAUGUCUCAGGAUAUAACCAGGUUAUAACGAGGUAAUGUCUCAGGUUAAAACCAGGUUAUAACCAGGUAAUGUCUCAGGUUAUAACCAGGUUAUAAUCAGGUAAUGUCUCAGGUUAUAACCAGGUUAUAACCAGGUAAUGUCUAAGGAUAUAACUAGGUUAUAACCAGGUAAUGUCUCAUGAUAUAACUAGGUCAUAACCAGGUAAUGUCUCAGGUCAUAACCAGGUUAUAACCAGGUAAUGUCUCAGGAUAUAACCAGGUUAUAACCAGGUAAUGUCUCAGGAUAUAACCAGGUUAUAACCAGGUACUGUCUCAGGUUAUAACCAGGUUAUAACCACUUUAUAACCAGGUAAUGUCUCAGGUUAUAUACAGGUUAUAACAAGGUAAUGUCUCAGGAUUUAAGCAGGUUAUAACCAGGUUAUAACCUGGUAAUGUCUCAGGAUAUAACUAGGUUAUAACCAGGUAAUGUCUCAGGAUAUAACCAGGUUAUAACCAGGUAAUGUCUCAAGAUAUAACCAGGUUAUAACCAGGUAAUGUCUCAGGUUAUAACCAGGUUAUAACCAGGUUUUAACCAGGUAAUGUCUCAGGUUAUAACUAGGUUAUAACCAGGUUAUAUCCAGGUAAUGUCUCAGAUUAUAACCUGGUUAUAACAAGGUAAUGUCUCAGGACAUAAGCAGGUUAUAACCAGGUUAUAACCAGGUAAUGUCUCAGGAUAUAACUAGGUUAUAACCAGGUAAUGUCUCAGGAUAUAACCAGGUUAUAACCAGGUAAUUUCUCAAGAUAUAACCAGGUUAUAACAUGGUUAUAACCAGGUAAUGUCUCAAGAUAUAACCAGGUUAUAACAUGGUUAUAACCAGGUAAUGUCUCAGGUUAUAAGCAGGUUAUAACCAGGUAAUGUCUCAGGUUAUAAACAGGUUAUAACCUGGUUAUAUUCAGGUAAUGUCUCAGGUUAUAACCUGGUUAUAACCAGGUAAUGUCUCAGGAUAUAACCAGGUUUUCACCAGGUAAUGUCUCAGGUCAUAACCAGGUUAUAACCAGGUAAUGUCUCAGGAUAUAACCAGGUUAUAACCAGGUAAUGUCUCAGGAUAUAACCAGGUUAUAACCAGGUACUGUCUCAGGUUAUAAACAGGUUAUAAUCUGGUUAUAUCCAGGUAAUGUCUCAGAUUAUAACCUGGUUAUAACCAGGUUAUGUCUCAGGAUAUAAGCAGGUUAUAACCAGGUUUUAACCAGGUAAUGUCUCAGGUUAUAAGCAGGUUAUAAGCAGGUUAUAACCAGGUAAUGUCUCAGGAUAUAACUAGGUUAUAAUGCAGACCUCAGAGACACCCAGCAAAUUGAACAGCUGCGGCAGGACACAGCCAACGGCCUUAGGCAGAUCAACAACACUGCACUACCAGGGAACAUGAAGCUCUGGUGCCUCCAGUUUGGGCUGUUACCCAGACUUCAAUGGCCGCUGACCAUGUAUGAGGUCUCUAUACGCCAUGCUAAUCGCUUUGAAAGGCUGGUGAACUCCCAUGUGAGGAAGUGGCUCGGACUCCCAAGGUGCUUCAGCAGCGUCGGACUCUACAGCGACGGAGCCUUGUCACUGCCCAUCUCCAGCGUGGUUGAAGAGUUCAAGUGUGCGAAGGUGAGGCUGGAGAUGUCCCUCACUGAUUCCCGGGACCCUGUAGUGAGAGGUGCCCCUCCCACCUUGGCAACAGGGAGGAAGUGGACCCCAGCCACAGCUGUCCUACAGGCCAAAUCUGCUCUCCUCCACCGUGAUGUAGUGGGCCAUGUCCAGCAAGGCAGAGCAGGUUUUGGCCUUGGAGCUGUAACUCCUCUCUGGCGAAAGGCAUCUACCACUGAGCGACGAACCAUGGUCGUAGAGGAGGUGCGCCGACAGGAGGAAGCAACCAGACGAUCCAAAGCAGUAGCACAAGCCAAACAGGGCCGCUGGAUGAGGUGGGAGGGUGUCGAAAAGAAGAAGCUCACAUGGAGCGAACUCUGGGGCAUGGAAUCCAACCGGUUGAGCUUCAUCGUUCGAGCAACAUACGAUGUGCUACCAUCUCCCAUAAACCUGCAACAAUGGUUUGGAAAGGACCCAGCGUGCCCCCUGUGUACAACCCCAGCAACACUUAAGCACAUCAUGGUGGGCUGUAAAACCAGCCUCACUCAAGGCAGAUAUACAUGGAGACACAACCAGGUCCUCAGGUGUCUGGCUGACAAACUUGAGUGCAAGAGGGUUUCCAUCAACGCCCUACCCACCAACAACCAGGAUGUGCGGCAACACCCACCAUUGUUUGUUCGGGAGGGGGAAAAGCAGAGAGCAAGGGCUUCACACUCUGACCUGGGCCUGCUGAAUGCAGCCAGAGACUGGCAAAUGCAGGCUGACUUGGAUCGGAGACUCGUUUUCCCCCCGGAGAUCGCAACGACCACCCUACGUCCAGACCUUGUCCUAUGGUCUAACACCUGCAAGCUCGUCUACAUCAUAGAGCUGACAGUUCCUUGGGAGGAUGCUGUCGAAGAAGCGUAUGAACGCAAGAAACUUCACUACUCCAACCUAGCGGCUGAGGCAGAGGACAGGGGCUGGAAGGCGUGGGUGCGCCCGGUGGAGGUGGGUUUUAGGGGUUUUGUGGCCAGCUCGACAGUGAAGCUCCUUAGGGAGGUCAGAAUCAGGGGACAAGCUCACAGACAGGCCAUCAAAGAGCUGGCCAACACUGCCGAGAGAACGAGCGAUUGGCUGUGGAUGAAGAGGAGCGACACCAUCUGGGCUGCUAAGCCAAAUGCUUAACCCUGGGACACACACCCAGGACUUACUAGCAUCUUACUACAGAUGUCUAUUGAUCUGAGUCAUCUCAGGCAAAGAGGUGGCUCUGCCCCUUUCUGUAGAUGAAGUAUAUAUUUUUAGACCAGUCAAACUUAUUAUCCAGAUGUACACCUAGGUAUUUAUAUGAUGUCACCACUUCAAUGUCCACUCCACAGGUGUUCACUGGCUGAAGAGGGGGUUUGGAUCUACGGAAGUCUAUGACCAUCUCCUUUGUCUUUGAGGUGUUGAGGAGGAGGCAGUUUUUGUGACUCCAGUCACUGAAGGCUCUUAUUAGAUCUCUGUAUUCAUCCUGUCCAUUUCUGAUACAUGCCACAAUAGCGGUGUCAUCUGAGUAUUUCUGGAUGUGGCAGGACUCUGUACUGUAUUUGAAGUCUGACAUAUACAGUGUGAACAGGAAUGGCGCCAGCACUGUCCCUUGUGGAGCCCCUGUACUGCUCAUUAAUGUCCCAGAAACACAGUUCCCCAGCCUGACAAACUGUGGCCUUCCUGUCAGGUAAUCUGCGAUC